rnacentral:tRNA from 1 species
GAAUAGAGAAGUAAUUUACAUUUAGUUUCGACCUAAAAAUAAAGAAUUAUAAUUUCUUCCUAUUUU